GAUGAAGAACGCAGCGAAAUGCGAUAAGUAAUGCGAAUUGCAGAAUUUCCGUGAAUCAUCGAAUCUUUGAACGCACAUUGCGCCCUGUGGUAUUCCGCAGGGCAUGCCUGUUCGAGCGUCAUUGACACCCUCAAGCUCUGCUUGGUCUUGGGCGUUUGUGCCUGCCGUUGCGCAGGGACUCGCCUCAAACUCAUUGGCAGCCUGCCUUUGCCGGUCUUUGCACAGCACAGUCGUGCCAAAGCCGCGGUGAGCAGGCGCUCCACAAGCCCUUUUCAGCUUGACCUCGGAUCAGGUAGGAAUACCCGCUGAACUUAAGCAUAUCAAUAAGCGGAGGA
rnacentral:misc_RNA from 1 species